AUUGAACGCUGGCGGCAGGCCUAACACAUGCAAGUCGAGCGGGGUUUUCGGACCUAGCGGCGGACGGGUGAGUAAUGCGUAGGAAGCUACCCGACAGAGGGGGAUACCAGUUGGAAACGACUGUUAAUACCGCAUAAUGUCUACGGACCAAAGUGUGGGACCUUCGGGCCACAUGCUGUCGGAUGCGCCUACGUGGGAUUAGCUAGUUGGUGAGGUAAUGGCUCACCAAGGCGACGAUCCCUAGCUGGUUUGAGAGGAUGAUCAGCCACACUGGAACUGAGACACGGUCCAGGCUCCUACGGGAGGCAGCAGUGGGGGAAUAUUGGACAAUGGGCGGCAAGCCUGAUCCAGCCAUGCCGCGUGUGUGAAGAAGGCCU
rnacentral:rRNA from 1 species